rnacentral:rRNA from 1 species
UACGUAGGGUGCGAGCGUUGUCCGGAAUUAUUGGGCGUAAAGAGCUCGUAGGCGGUGUGUCGCGUCGGCCGUGAAAACCUGCAGCUUAACUGUGGGCUUGCGGUCGAUACGGGCAUCACUGGAGUUCGGCAGGGGAGACUGGAAUUCCUGGUGUAGCGGUGAAAUGCGUAGAUAUCGGGAGGAACACCAGUGGCGAAGGCGGCUUCCUGGCCUGUUCUUGACGCUGAGGCGCGAAAGCUAGGGGA